rnacentral:rRNA from 1 species
GACGUAGGGCGCGAGCGUUGUCCGGAUUUAUUGGGCGUAAAGAGCUCGUAGGCGGCUUGUCGCGUCGUCCGUGAAAACUUGGGGCUCAACCCCAAGCUUGCGGUCGAUACGGGCAGGCUAGAGUUCGGUAGGGGAGACUGGAAUUCCUGGUGUAGCGGUGAAAUGCGCAGAUAUCAGGAGGAACACCGAUGGCGAAGGCAGUUCUCUGGGCCGUAACUGACGCUGAGGAGCGAAAGCGUGGGGAGCGAACAGG